GACGAACGCUGGCGGCGCGCCUAACACAUGCAAGUCGAACGAGCGAGAGAGAGCUUGCUUUCUUGAGCGAGUGGCGAACGGGUGAGUAACGCGUGAGGAACCUGCCUCAAAGAGGGGGACAACAGUUGGAAACGACUGCUAAUACCGCAUAAGCCCACAGGUCGGCAUCGACCAGAGGGAAAAGGAGCAAUCCGCUUUGAGAUGGCCUCGCGUCCGAUUAGCUAGUUGGUGAGGUAAUGGCCCACCAAGGCAACGAUCGGUAGCCGGACUGAGAGGUUGAACGGCCACAUUGGGACUGAGACACGGCCCAGACUCCUACGGGAGGCAGCAGUGGGGAAUAUUGCACAAUGGGGGAAACCCUGAUGCAGCGACGCCGCGUGGAGGAAGAAGGUCUUCGGAUUGUAAACUCCUGUUGUUGAGGAAGAUAAUGACGGUACUCAACAAGGAAGUGACGGCUAACUACGUGCCAGCAGCCGCGGUAAAACGUAGGUCACAAGCGUUGUCCGGAAUUACUGGGUGUAAAGGGAGCGCAGGCGGGAAGACAAGUUGGAAGUGAAAUCUAUGGGCUCAACCCAUAAACUGCUUUCAAAACUGUUUUUCUUGAGUAGUGCAGAGGUAGGCGGAAUUCCCGGUGUAGCGGUGGAAUGCGUAGAUAUCGGGAGGAACACCAGUGGCGAAGGCGGCCUACUGGGCACCAACUGACGCUGAGGCUCGAAAGUGUGGGUAGCAAACAGGAUUAGAUACCCUGGUAGUCCACACCGUAAACGAUGAUUACUAGGUGUUGGAGGAUUGACCCCCUUCAGUGCCGCAGUUAACACAAUAAGUAAUCCACCUGGGGAGUACGACCGCAAGGUUGAAACUCAAAGGAAUUGACGGGGGCCCGCACAAGCAGUGGAGUAUGUGGUUUAAUUCGACGCAACGCGAAGAACCUUACCAAGUCUUGACAUCCUGCGACGCACAUAGAAAUAUGUGUUUCCUUCGGGACGCAGAGACAGGUGGUGCAUGGUUGUCGUCAGCUCGUGUCGUGAGAUGUUGGGUUAAGUCCCGCAACGAGCGCAACCCUUACUGUCAGUUACUACGCAAGAGGACUCUGGCAGGACUGCCGUUGACAAAACGGAGGAAGGUGGGGAUGACGUCAAAUCAUCAUGCCCUUUAUGACUUGGGCUACACACGUACUACAAUGGCGUUAAACAAAGAGAAGCAAGACCGCGAGGUGGAGCAAAACUCAGAAACGACGUCCCAGUUCGGACUGCAGGCUGCAACUCGCCUGCACGAAGUCGGAAUUGCUAGUAAUCGUGGAUCAGCAUGCCACGGUGAAUACGUUCCCGGGCCUUGCACA
rnacentral:rRNA from 1 species